UUGCUUUGGCAGCACACAUACUAAACCUGGACCAAUAUGGAGAAUAUUAGCAUGGUUCAUGCAUGAUGAAGUUCAAAUUCAUGAUGUGUUCUGUGUUUUU
rnacentral:snRNA from 1 species